rnacentral:miRNA from 1 species
UGAGGUAGUAAGUUGUAUCGUU